GACGAACGCUGGCGGCGUGCUUAACACAUGCAAGUCGAACGGAAAGGCCUGCUUUCCCUUGUGGAUUGCGGGUACUCGAGUGGCGAACGGGCGAGUAACACGUGAGUGAUCUGCCCCCAACUUGGGUAUAAGCCUGGGAAACUGGGUCUAAUUCCCGAUAGGACUGCAGGGUGGUGCCUGUGGUGGAAAACGAUUUUCUAGUGGUUGGGGAUGAGCUCGCGGCCUAUCAGCUUGUUGGUGGGGUAAUGGCCUACCAAGGCGGCGACGGGCAGCCGGCCUGAGAGGGUGGACGGCCACAUUGGGACUGAGAUACGGCCCAGACUCCUACGGGAGGCAGCAGUGGGGAAUAUUGCACAAUGGGCGGAAGCCUGAUGCAGCGACGCCGCGUGGGGGAUGACGGCCUUCGGGUUGUAAACUCCUUUCGACCGCGAGGAAGCCACCUGGUUGGAAGGGUGGUGACGGUAGUGGUAGAAGAAGCACCGGCUAACUACGUG
rnacentral:rRNA from 1 species